GAAAAAGUUGCCCAGCAGAUUCCUCCACAAUGGCCUGGGACCUGCUUCUCUUCACAGUCCUGGUCUCCAUAGGUCUUAGUGUCCAGCAGCUACAGACCCUGAAGGACCCGGAAUUUGUGGCUCCGGGUGGGACGGUCACUAUGUCUUGCAGAUUCAACAGUGGAAACAUUGGCGAUGGCAACUAUCCUUGGUGGGUCCAGAAAAAACCUGAGAGUAAACCCCGGAUGUUGAUCUACACCACCAGCACCCGGCCGUCUGAUGUUCCAGCCCGUUUCUCUGGGUCUCGAUCAGGGAAUGUGAUGUCCCUGACCAUCACGGGGGCCCUAUUGGAAGAUGAAGCUGUUUAUUACUGUGCUGUGUGGACUGGGAGUCAGACCCACAGUGGUUCAUUCAGAUGGGGAAGUGAGACAAAAACCUCCCCUCCCUUGUUCUCUCUGUACCUUAACAGAAGCCGAACUGCCUCUUUUAUCCUUUUUUGUGUGUGUGUUAUGAAUGAAGCCCCAGAAAAAUUCUGAAGUCAGUAUACGUUG